rnacentral:rRNA from 1 species
AGUGAACGCUGGCGGUAGGCCUAACACAUGCAAGUCGAACGGCAGCACAGUAAGGGCUUGCUCUUACGGGUGGCGAGUGGCGGACGGGUGAGGAAUACAUCGGAAUCUACUUUUUCGUGGGGGAUAACGUAGGGAAACUUACGCUAAUACCGCAUACGACCUACGGGUGAAAGCAUGGGAUCUUCGGACCUUGCGCGAUUGAAUGAGCCGAUGUCGGAUUAGCUAGUUGGCGGGGUAAAGGCCCACCAAGGCGACGAUCCGUAGCUGGUCUGAGAGGAUGAUCAGCCACACUGGAACUGAGACACGGUCCAGACUCCUACGGGAGGCAGCAGUGGGGAAUAUUGGACAAUGGGCGCAAGCCUGAUCCAGCCAUACCGCGUGUGUGAAGAAGGCCUUCGGGUUGUAAAGCCCUUUUGUUGGGAAAGAAAAGCAGCAGGUUAAUACCCCGCUGUUCUGACGGUACCCAAAGAAUAAGCACCGGCUAACUUCGUG